rnacentral:lncRNA from 1 species
AGUAAAAAAAUUCUUAUAUCCAAACGAGCUCAAUUUUCAAGAGAUUUUAAGCAAGGAAAACAUAUUUAAUUUUCUUUUAAAUUGCAAAAGAUUAUGUUGAACCAAUUUUUUCAUAGGUUUGAUAUAUUUAUGAAACUCAUAUAGAGGGAAAAAAACAAAAGAAAGGGAGGUAAAAAAGGGAAGUUAUAAGAGAAAAUGGGAAGCAAAUAUUCAGAGGAGAAAAAAGAACAAUAAUUCUAGCUAACCAAAAAACACAUCAUCAACAUCAGCAACAACCAUAAAUUGCUUUUCUCUAAUCCAUCAUCACCCUCCCUCCCUCCCUCUUCUCUCAGUUGGGGCUGUUUUUAGAUUUUGAUCACUGACCCAACUCUGUAAAGUUUCAAUCUUUUUCAUUAUUCCCAUAGUUUUAUUAUCACCCAACUCCUCAAAUUAUCUUAAUGUAAGCUUUUACAACUCAUUUUUAUUUCUAAAUGCUGAUUCUUGAUCUUAUUGGCCCACUUUUUUUUUCUCCUUUUUUUGCUCAAGUUUCUUUCUUGCUCAUUGCAGGUGAAUGUUAUAUGCACAGAUCUUAAUAUGCUUUGACCUAGCUGAAUAGCCCUCAGUCUGUGUGGACCUCAGCUAAAAGAACAAUAGGUAGAGAUUUCAAUCUUUGAUUCAGAAAUUUUGAUGCUUGUCUGCAAUCUGUGCUUUCUUUUUUCACUACUUAGUUCACCAAGAAUAUACCUUUCAUAUUGUUAAAUGAGAGUGAGAAUGUGCAUCAUGUGGAUUUGUUGGUAAUUAACUUUUUGGAUUUAUAGGCUCCCUUCAGUUGCAAUAGGCUGAUCCCUGAAAAAUUUGAAUCCACAGCUGUCUUCUUACUGCUGAGUUGUUUAUAAUACAUAUUACACAUUAUAUCAUGGAAAAAAGAAGGAAAAUGAUUAUGGAACAGGAGUUGAUUUUUUAGCUAUUUUCUCCACGAUACUACAACAACAACAACAACAACCUAGUAUAAUCACACUUAAUGGGGUCUGGGUAGGGUAGUGUGUACGCAGACCUUACCCCUACCCUUGUGUUAUGGACGGCACUAUUUUCGCCCCAAAACAGGCUCAAAACAGCUCCAAAAUGCUUCCGGAACAGUCCAGCGUGCCCCGGAAGGCCCUGGAAGACUCNN